UGAGGAACAUGACCUUCGGCGGGGGAUAGCCGGCCCAACGGCCGGGUAAUACCGCGUACGACCUUUCGGGGACAUCCCUGGAUGGUGAAAGCAGCAAUGCGCCGAUGGAGUGCCUCGCGGCCUAUCAGCUAGUUGGUGAGGUAACGGCUCACCAAGGCGACGACGGGUAGCUGGUCUGAGAGGAUGGCCAGCCACAUUGGGACUGAGACACGGCCCAGACCUCCGUACGGGAGCAG
rnacentral:rRNA from 1 species